AAUGAACUAGCGAUUAGCGUCCUAAUUAUUGAGAAAUUAAAUAUUUCACAUCUAAGAUAUAUUUGACACGAGACUUUCGUUGGCUUAAAGUUUUUAAUUAAUGCAUUCUUUAUGUUUCAAUACGAAUAACGAAUACGCAACGUGUGAAAAGUGAAGAGAUUCGAGGAAUUAUUUCGUUAGAUUCAUACUUAAUAUUUAUCCCACAAUCAUAUGUGCGUUACGUCAGUACACAGCCGGACUGCAAGUGCUGCAAAUGCAUGUAAAUCAAUCACCGAUCGACAAUAUUUGCAAUCGUAGGCGCGCGAAGGAGCCUCGGGGGUGGAAAGCGGAAUCUUUCCCCUUUCCACGAACGACCGGUGGUGCGGCCUGUACGGAGGGCAUGCGCGUUCGUCGUUACACGAGGGUAGUACGCGAUCAGGGAGGGGUUCUGCUCGAUUCCAGUGACUCAGAAGAUAUAUUUCCUAAAGUGUACCUCGCCGAGGGAUUCGAUAAUCGGUUAAUAACGCGGCAGUACGUUGUCGUUCGUCGAAUCGCGGCGUUUAAUGAAAAAGCUCGGCUUUUGUCGCGAUGCCCUAGCGUAUGCGUCGAGUGUACGAGUGUCAAGCAGCGCGACCACCACCAGCUGCCCCCUUCGCCAUGGACCGUCACGACUAACGUCAUUCACGCACCGGAUGGAAUUAUGGAAGCUUGUGACGUAAAGUAUCUUGCACACCGAUUGACGUUGAACCAAAUCAUCUGAAAACGAUCGUGGGGAAAAAAAGCCCACGGCUUGGGAUUUAUCAAUCCGGACAGCAGGUGUUAUUGACAGACAGUCGGAACAGAGAUUGAAUCGCGAUUCUACUUUCAUCUUUUAUACAGAGCAUAUGUACAAACGAAUAUUUAAAUUUGAAAUGUGGGCCAUUUGAAGAGUUGGCAGAUUCUUGGAUCGAUUUGUACAUUUUUGCUGCGAGAGGAUAAAUUUGCCGGAAAAUUCAUGAUUUGCGAGGAAAUAACAUUUCUCUACUUUUCGCAUUCACUUCGUACUCGUCGACAUUGCGUCUUCGAAAACACUCGCGGAAUAUAAAUUAAGUAAAAUGAAAAUUACGAUCGCUCGCUCCGUACCAAAGUUUAAAUAAGAGUUUCGAGUCGCGUGACUUCACCACAGUGAAUGCAUGCGGGAAACUGCAUGCGACGUUAGUACAUGCAAAAAUUGCGCUCCCUCGAAAUCAGGAACAUGUCAUAUCAAAGAUCAAAUCUCGUGUAAUUUUAUCAAGCUUAAAAUAUCAAAUGUUAAUACCGAUAACUUAUAGGGGAUGUUUAUGAAAACAGUUGCUACACUUGGCGCUUUUUGUACAAAAAAUUGAAACUACAUCAGAUUCUGCGAGAUAAAAAAUGCUAAAAUGCGAGUUUUCGAUUUUACAUGCACCUUUAUCGAACAGGUCGGCGCAUCGAUCGAUUAAU